AGUGAAGCGGGAAAAGCUCAAAUUUAAAAUCUGGCGGUUCUGCCGUCCGAGUUGUAAUUUAGAGAAGUGCUAUCCGCGCUGGACCGUGUACAAGUUCCCUGGAAUGGGACGUCAUAGAGGGUGAGAAUCCCGUCUUUGACACGGACUACCAGGGCAUUGUGAUGCGCUCUCGAAGAGUCGAGUUGUUUGGGAAUGCAGCUCAAAAUGGGUGGUAAAUUCCAUCUAAAGCUAAAUAUUGGGGAGAGACCGAUAGCGAACAAGUACCGUGAGGGAAAGAUGAAAAGAACUUUGGAAAGAGAGUUAAACAGUACGUGAAAUUGCUGAAAGGGAAACGCUUGAAGUCAGUCGCGUCGUUCAGGAUUCAGCCUUGCCUUUGCUUGGUGUACUUCCUGUUCGACGGGUCAGCAUCAGUUUUGGCCGGUGGAAAAAGGCUCAGAGAAUGUGGCACCUUCGGGUGUGUUAUAGCUUUGGGUCACAUACAUCGGCUGGGACUGAGGAACUCAGCACGCCGCAAGGCCGGGUUUCGACCACGUUCGUGCUUAGGAUGCUGGCAUAAUGGCUUUAAUCGACCCGUCUUGAAACACGGACCAAGGAGUCUAACAUGCCUGCGAGUGUUUGGGUGGAAAACCCGAGCGCGUAAUGAAAGUGAAAGUUGAGAUCCCUGUCGUGGGGAGCAUCGACGCCCGGAGCAGACCUUUUGUGACGCAUCCGCGGUAGAGCAUGUAUGUUGGGACCCGAAAGAUGGUGAACUAUGCCUGAAUAGGGUGAAGCCAGAGGAAACUCUGGUGGAGGCUCGUAGCGAUUCUGACGUGCAAAUCGAUCGUCG
rnacentral:rRNA from 1 species